rnacentral:misc_RNA from 1 species
GAUAUACAAGAAAGAGAGAGAUAUGGAGAGAUACCUCAGUAGGAAGAGAAAGAAUGCAAAAGAGAUAGAUAAAGAGAGACAAAGAUGGAUAGAGAGAGACAUGUGGAGAGCAAAAGAGAAAGAUGGGACUCAAAUAGGAAGAGAGAGAGGGCAAAAGACAUGGAUAGAAGAAGACAGAGAUGGGGAUAGGGAGAGAGAUGGAAAGAGACCCAAAAUGGGAAGAGAGAUGGAAAAAUAUGUGGAUAGAGAGAGACAAAAAAGGAAAGAAGAAGAGAGAGAUAAAAAGACUUAAACAGAAUGAAAGACAGGGCGAAAGACAUGAAGAAAAAGAGCUAAUAGAUUAAAAAUAAUCAUAAUAUGUAAGUGCUAAUUGCGAAUUUAGGAGCUUGGAAAAUUGUUAGUGGACUAUGAGUCUUUUGCUGAAAUAGAAAAACGGUAUGGGUCGGAAAUCAGUAGUUCUCUCUCUUCACUCCUUUCUAUCCUGCUCUUGAGCUCUCCUAUGGUUCUAAACGCUGAAGGAUUAUAGAGGUG